AACAGCGAGGAUCAGUCUCUCUUCCAAUGAUUUGUGCUCCGCGUCAUGUUAAAAAAGUUCAGGACAAUUGAACUUCGGGAGUGGACGGCAUGUGUGCCAGGAAGCCAUGGCAGUGAGUCAACACAAACAGUAAGGCAUGUGACACUGGGACACCUAGAACACAGCCACCGUUAAUAUGCUACACCUGAGCUUGACAAGGCAACUUGUCGGCCUAAUUAUGUAUUAGCAUUUGUUAGAAUGAAUAAAUGUGAUUUGUGAAUUUAAUGGAUCACUUUCAUGAGGUUUAUGUAACUAUUGAUUAAUCUAUAAUAGCUUAAAGUAAGCACUGGAGCAGUCUGUAACAGCCAGGCUGUCACACACGAGCUGGCAUAGUGCAAGCCAGCAAAUUGAUGGCUUGCUAAAGGCAGUGUGGGCUAUUUUGAGUCCCAAGACAAUUCAUGCAGGGACACAGAUCAUUAUCUUCCAUGAAAAACGUUUCCUCAUCUCAGCAGAGCUAAUCUGUCUUCCCCAACAAACAACUUGCGCUUUGACGAUCAAUCUCAGCAUCGAAGGCUUGAGUCAUACUGCUCUACUGCUUCCUAUUCAAACUCCGUGGUAUUAAUAUCCACCCUAGAGAACAUGACCAGACUGCUUGAUCAUCAUUUAGCACCUCAGACAGCACAGAUGUGAUCUCCACACAUGCGCUGAAAACCAAACAAGGCGAGAGGGAAAGAAAGGGAGGGGAAAAAAUCAGGCCUGGCUCUGUAAAUGGAAAACAAAGAAAGCGGUGUGGACCUUGCUACACAACAUUGUUCCAGCCAAUCAGUGACAGUUAGUGCUCAUGCACAUGAGUGAUGGGGCAGAGCGAGAGAGAGUUCUAUACACCGGCACAUUCGAACGUGGUGAUCUGCAGGGACUGUGAAGAAGGAGAGAUGGCCGAGAAACAGCCAAGGAGGAAAAGGUCUGAAGAGUAUAACCAGAGAAGAAAGUUAUAUGACCAGGCAAGAGUGAAGACUUUUUUAUUUAACCUUUAUUUAACCAGGUGAGUCUCAUUGAGAUUAAAAUCUCUUUUGCAAGAGAGACCUGGCCAAGACGCAGCGUAAAAGAACAUAAAGGACAGUUUCCAACAUAAAAGACAUCAAGUACAGAUACAUAUAUAACACAAGCCCCUGUAUUGAAUAAGGCACUUGACUUCAAAUAUCAAGAAUCCCUCUGCAGAAUCACUUACUCUCCCUUUAACGUUGUUACAGAUGCCGCAUUUCAUGAGUUUUGACCAUGCAGGAAAGGAGGAAGUCAGGUGACCUUUGUCUUCAUGGUUACAAUAAUAAACAUGCGGUUAACGUUGUGAAACGGGCACAGUUAGGUUAGGUUUUGGCAACAAAACUAAAUGGUUUGUGUUACAAUAAGUGUUACAAUAACUCUUCCUGUUUACGUGCAAACAACCUGGGGAUUUCAUUGUGAAAAGUAGGAGGCACUGCUAGAAUAUAUAUUCCUGGAAUGUUGGGUGCCAGUUGUUGACCUAUGUGUACUCAGUUUCAUGGUAUGUUGAGUUGUGCCAUCUCUGCAAAGUUCCAAGUGGGUUUGGUGAAAUAU